rnacentral:rRNA from 1 species
GCACAAGCGGUGGAUGAUGUGGUUUAAUUCGAUGCAACGCGAAAACCUUACCACCUUUGACAUGUACGGAACCCUUUAGAGAUAGAGGGUGCUCGAAGAGAGCCGUAACACAGGUGCUGCAUGGCUGUCGUCAGCUCGUGUCGUGAGAUGUUGGGUUAAGUCCCGCAACGAGCGCAACCCUUGUCAUUAGUUGCUACAUUCAGUUGGGCACUCUAAUGAGACUGCCGGUGACAAGCCGGAGGAAGGUGGGGAUGACGUCAAAUCAUCAUGCCCCUUAUGACCUGGGCUACACACGUGCUACAAUGGUUGGUACAACGAGUUGCGAGUCGGUGACGGCGAGCUAAUCUCUUAAAGCCAAUCUCAGUUCGGAUUGUAGGCUGCAACUCGCCUACAUGAAGUCGGAAUCGCUAGUAAUCGCGGAUCAGCACGCCGCGGUGAAUACGUUCCCGGGCCUU